GCUACCGUGAGAUUUACCCACCCCCACAGGUGCUUGGAGCUUCCGCUUGUCAUUCCGUUCUGCUCGAGCUUCCAUAGCUGCGAGUCGACACACGCUGGGAAGUAACGAUCCGGAUCCUCUACUUUUUUUGUGAUAAUUCUGUGGUACUAUAAAGGGAUCAGCCUCUUGAGGAAACUGGAAAACAUCCAGUUCAUAAAAAAGGCAAAGGAGGAGACCAUAUUCGGGUCAGGGAGCCGGUACAGCCCUGGAGCCGGUGAGGAGAAGCCCGCAGGCCUCGUGGAAGGUGUGACGUAGGGCCAAGGAUGUCAGAAGAGAAGGCAGGAAAUGGGCAUCGGCCUGGCCGAGCUGGAUCUCGGUCUGUGACGGUUAACUCUCGUCAGCCGAGACCUUGAACUUCCAGCAUGGAACAUUUCUGCGGCUGGUGGACCGUAAACCAGAAAAAGCAGCUAUUUGCCCUGUGGAAUAGUUUCUCCAGAUAACAAAGGAAAUGACACCUUUUUGUACGCAAAGACCACGCUGUUCUGACCCGGACGUCCUGCGAGCUGAAUAUUCAUACUCAUCCGUAGAGCGUCAGGAGUGCCGAGUCUGAGCGGAAUACUAAAUCGAACGCUGAUUCCUGCGUCUCGCGCUCUGUGUUUACUCCCACCAGUUGCUGGUUGUGCCCGCCCAGCAGAUUCUUUCCGUCGCGGGCGGCCACGGGGCCAUUAUACACGCCGAAUCACCUUUAAAGAUUGAUGAGCGUGAGCCACGUGCAGCGGACGGACAUCACAAGCCACCGGCGCCAUUGAUAAAUCCACUAGGCACCAGAGGGCAUGUUUCGUAGCAUAGAUCAAACCUGUGAAAAAACACUUUCGAUGAAUAAAGCCAGCCUCUCGCUCUGUGGAUUUGUAGGCGGACGGUGUGUGUGGCUCAGUGGGUUCAAAUCCCAAGUGAUUUCACUGUUAAAUCCUUCAGCUAGACCCUUAAUUACUCCAGGCUGACCCUGCCUUCUCAGAAAUGUAUGUCACCUUGGAUUAAAGGGUCCGGUAAUAAAUAAAAGGCAAACAGUUUUGGGGAGGUUCCAUACAAAGGUAACCAACCAGCUGUGACUGUACUCAACUUGUCGGUUGAAACAAAACCUUGGUCUGGAUUUGUACUUUCUGGACCUGAUAUUUCCACCCAUAUCCCUAAUGGAUUACUUUAGUGGGUUUUUUCCCCCAACACUGAAUGUAAAUACUGCAGCCCUGCUUUGAUCAGUGGCUAAUUAAUGUGAGUAUUCUGAUGACUUGAUUCUGAAGCCUUUUUGGGGAUAAGACUAGGUCAGUGUUUCUCAACCUAGUCUUUGGGGACCUCCAGACAGUCUAGGUUUUUGCUACCUCCCAACUCCCAGCCAAUGAAGAUUGCAGAAUACCAAGGACAGGUGUUUUGGGAGGGGGGGAGAGAACAAAAAGUGUGGACUGUCUGGGGUCCCUGAGGGCUGGGUUGAGAGACACUGGACUAGGUCCUUGACCUUGAACAUCUUUGAAAGGUGGAACCUACUGGCUUCCGGGUUCUGGAGAGCAGUAACCAGUGGUCUCCACGUUAACAGCAUGGAAGGAUGAUAGUGAAACCCAAGCUGGUGCAGUUUGAAAAAUCAAA